rnacentral:rRNA from 1 species
UACAGAGGUCUCAAACGUUGUUCGGAUUCAUUGGGCGUAAAGGGUGCGUAGGCGGCGUGGUAAGUCGGGUGUGAAAUCUCGGAGCUUAACUCCGAAACUGCAUUCGAUACUGCCGUGCUUGAGGACUGGAGAGGAGACUGGAAUUUACGGUGUAGCGGUGAAAUGCGUAGAUAUCGUAAGGAAGACCAGUGGCGAAGGCGGGUCUCUGGACAGUUCCUGACGCUGAGGCACGAAGGCCAGGGGAGCAAACGGG